AACGGAAGUAAAAGACCUGGACCUUAAUGAUGACUCAGGUUCUUGGAAUUCAAGUGCCCUUGAGAAGGACGAACCGAAGGGAAGAAAACACCACUGAAAUGCAAAAAAAAAAAAUCGGAGAAAUUCAUGGAAUUGGCGACUAUAUUACAACAACAAGAUCGUGAGAGACAAAUGAGGCGAUGAAGCAGACAAUCCGAGUGAGUGUAAAGUAAAUAAAAAUAUUUUUUAUAUAUGUAUACUAGAUAUAUAUUAGAAUAUAAGUCAAGGUAGUUAGACAGCUAGUUUAAGUCGGACUUCAUAGGUUAAUUUCCAAUAUUAGCGCAGAAUUCGGUGGUAAUAACAAGACAAAGUUUAGAAAAUUAUGAAACAAGGUCCUAAACUCCUUGUUAUUGCCACUGAACUCAAAAGAAUUGUGUUUAGAAUAGUUACGGACUAUAUCCCAACCAAAACUGACGUAUCUGUACUAUCGAUCAUUUAUUUCCCAGCUAGUGACAAUCUGCUUACGGAGUGAACAACUACAUGUUGAUCUUCCAACUUGUAUUGUCCCAAUUGUUUACUUUGGUAUCGGCUCGCUGUAAGAUCAGACUCAGAAUUGUGUUAUUACCCUAGGUGACUAAUAACCCUUACGCUUUUGAUGGCACGGUACCAGAAGGCUUUGAUGGGGUUGCACCUACUAAUAGGGUAAUGACCGGUUACACAUGUAACCAGCUAAGAAACGUUGGCUUUAAGUCGAUCCAACAAAUAAUUACUCAUUCCAAAGUAGCUAUGGAUCUCACUGGACUACGAUAUAAAUGAAAGAUAUGUACAGAACUCAGUACUGCUUAGGAUAUAUCAACAGCUAUGCCAAACAGAAAUUCCCUGCCAAUAAAGAAAAGACUAAGAUUAAUAUAAAGACUCGACAAUACAGACUUAAAGAUAGGUACACCAUUAGGUACAAAUUGGACGACUACUAGACGCUGUCAACCGGUAGAUAUUCAGGAAGAAAUGUUAGGACUAGAACCACCAAAGAUAUUGAAGCUAUUGCUUCAAAUCUUUGGCGUGAAAAACCCCUAACGAUUUCCCCUGAACAUCCUCGACCUCGUAUAUGGACUGUUUGACGCGCUCGGACGCAUUAGCUUGCGGUGAGUGGGUUGCAGUCCGAACAUGUUUAACCCCAAAACUACUAAUCAUGUCGGCAAACUCUUUGCUAACAAAUUGUUUUCCAUUAUCAGAAACGAUAGUUUCUGGUGUUCCAAAUUUAUGGAAAACUUCAGCAAUUAGAAACUUUACCACAUUCUUGGUGCUGGCUUUAGGCAAGGCCUUCAAAAAAACAAACUUAGUUAAAUGAUCUAAAACGAUAAAAAUAUAAACGUUUCCGUUUUUCGACCAUGGGUACGGACCAAGAAAGUCUAUAAAAAUGCGUUGGAAAGGUCGUUCUGACUGUACUUCGGAACCCAUUGGUGGUCUGAGCGUAGAAUUCGCGGGUUUCGAUUCUUUACAAAUUUGGCAGUUUAACACAAAAUUUCUUGUCUGAACAUUUUGAUUUGGCUUGUGGGGAAUUAUGACACUCAUUAAUUAUAUUUUGGGUUAACUCUGAAGGUACCCACAACUUCCACGCGAAAUCUUCACUAAUGGCUACACCGUCAUAAUGCCUGGUCCGUUUGUAGACAAAACCGUCGACCACUUUCAAAUCGGGUAAUUGCUCCGAAUUCUUCUCGACCGUAUCAAUUAAGCUUAGGUAAUCUUCCGACUGAAAUGCUUCCGACUUCAAAUCUACAAGUUUAGAUACUUUUAGUGAGAUUUCGUCCAUAUCAUAACGCGAUAGGGUAUCGGGUACUACAUUUUCCUUCCCCUGCCUAUGUUCAAUUUCGAAAUCGUACGCCUGUAAAUUUACUCCUGUAAAUGGCAUCAAUUCUAUAUAGGCCCUAAACUUCUUAAUCGCCAAGACAACUGCCAAACAUUCACGUUCAGUGACUGAAUAAUUUUUCUGCGCUGGGGUCAGCUUAUGCGAGAAAUAGGCUAUUGGGUGCUCUCCCUCAGAAUCAUCUUUCUGAAAAAGAACCGCUCCAAUGCCUAAGUCUGAUGCGUCACACUGAACAUAGAAACGCUUGGAGAAGUCUGGGUGAUUAAGAAGUGGGCUCGUAGUCAGAGCUUUCUUGAGGCGAUCAAAAGCAACCUUAGCUUUUUCGGUAAACUUGAAUUGUUUACCCUUCUUCAGCGUUUCAAAGAUUGGGACCGCAAUGGUAGCAUAGUCUGGUAUAAAUUUUCUAUACCAGCCUGUUGCUCCCAUGAAGCUCCUCACCUCUCUUGCUGUCUUAUGGUAUACAAAACGAGUAAUCGUUUCCACUUUGGCCGGGUCCGGUUUUAAUUUGCCGCCACCAACAAUAUACCCAAGAUAUUUUAACUCCUUAAAACAAAACUUGGAUUUAGCAACAUUGAUGGUCAAACCUGCCUCUGCUAGACAAAUAGAUACCCGCUUCAACAAUUCCAGAUGUGUCUCGAAUUCUGGAGAUACUAUCAAUAGAUCAUCUAAGUACACGAAAACUCUUUCACGAAGUGCCGCGGGCAUCACUUUAUCCAUUAACCGACAUAACCUUUGAGCUGCAUUACACAACCCAAAAGGCAUGACCGUAAAUUGAUAAAGUGGUCGUCCAGGUACCGUAAAAGCAGUUUUUUCCCUACUAGAUGACUCUAGUGGUAUCUGCCAGAACGCGUCUUUUAGGUCGACACUCGAAAUAUAGAUUGUAUCUCCCAAUCGACUGAGCAAACCUUCAAUGUGCGGCAAUGGAUAUGCAUCCUUGACUGUCAGCGCAUUGUGUUUACGCGCGUAAACACCGAUUCUUCUCGCCCCUUCGUACGAGAGUAACCGGGUGACUCCAUGGACUUUCGCUAAGCUCAAUAACACCUAAGUCCAGCAUCCUGUCCAACUCCGCAUACAUUAACUUUUGCACCGCCGGGGAUACAGGGUAAUAUCUAUCUUUCACUGGAAUUGCAUCACGGGUGUCUAUUGCAUGCGUUUCUAAAUGCGUUUUACCAGGGCCCUUCUUAGUAUAGCAGGGGAACAUAGCAAUUACCAAAUCCAAUCUUUGUCGCUGUUCAUCAUCCAACUUGUGAGUUUUAAUAUCUUGGGUCUCUUCUUCAUCUUCGCAAAGAUUAAUACCAUUCGUCGUGAGACUUCCUAUAUUUGCGAACAAAUUAAAAGCCUUCAUGAAAUCGACUCCCAAGAAUAACUCGCGACUCAGAGUAGGGACUAAAUAGAAAUUGAUAUCAUGUGACAUACCACGAAACACAACGUUGACUUUCACACGACCGACUAUAGGGUGUUCUGUUCCAUCCGCCGUUUUUAUAUUGGUAUGAAAAUCGUGGAUGGUUAGACCGGUCUUCUGUAUGAAACUCAUACAAUUACGCUGUCCAACAAUCCCUCGAUUUCCUGUCCAUUUAUAGAAAUCCUAGUAUAAAAACGCGAAUCAUCACCCUCUAUUAACGACGCGGCCGAAAUUUCCCGCCUAAGACUUUUUUUCGCUUAUACCUUUCGCGUGCUUUCUUUAUCCUACUCGAAACGUUACCGAAAAUUCUCGAUCUUGCCUGAUUAUAUUCUUGCACCCUAAUAUGUAAAGGUUUUAUCUCUCUGAGCCGAGGCUCAGGACUUGCCUCUACUUUUGCUUCAACCCUUUUCAAAAUUUUAUCUUGCUCUCUCUCUUCACUCGUUGCCGCAGAUCUUUGACUAACUGGGCCUAAACUUCCGUUGACCUCGCCUCCCCAGUUCGAGACGGGUUCCGGGACCGGUUUCUCUGACAUCUAGGACACUUCGGUGUAACUACAUUGUCCAUUCCACAUUUAAAACAGAAAAUUCUACGCGUGGGCGAAGGACAAUCAAAAAAACCGUGACCAACCAUCUUGCAGUUCCAUCAGGUGUAUUUACUCGUGUUCCGCAUUGCGUCCACUUCCAGAAUAGGCACCACAUCUUUUUCUUCUGGUGUAAUCUCAAUCUCAUUUACCCUUGUGAAACUAGGACGCUGUUGAUAACUUUGCCUCUGGUUAGCCAACAAGUUCUCUGCCCUCUUGACCUCGUGACAAAACUCGGUUAAACUGUUUAUUCGAAUGGGAAACAUCAACUGGGCCAAAGCUGGCUUAAGGUUACCCCUAAUGAUAUCAAUUAACGAUCUCUCAUCAUACGGGACUUUUUGCUGAUGGCGUAGCUUAAGUAUGACAUUAUAAAACUCUUCAAAUGACUCAUGAGGUAACUGGCGGCGAUUGAGUAUUUGCAUUUGUACCUGAAACUCAUUCUCAAAACGCUGAUAUUGGGACAAGAUAGCACUUUCCAGGUCCCGCCAAGAGUUAAUUUGCGCCAAUUUGCGAUGGUUCCAAUACCAGUCUAAAGCUGGUCCUUCCAGUAAGUUAUGGAAAUGGCGUAAAAUAUCCAUGUCCGAGCAGUUGUAAUCUUUUUUCAGCUCGUUUACUCGAAAAAUAAACUCUUGAGCAUUCAUGGACUUACUGGUUCCAUCAAAUCUCAUACCCCACUUAGACAAAUUCAUUCGCUGAUGAUUUUCCAUACCAAUUGACACUGGCCAAGCAUAAUUAGGAGCUAGUCCAAAGCUAUUUUGCUGUUGUAGUGGUGGUUGAUGAUAGCUAUACCCUUGUUGUUGUUGUUGGUUGUAACAUUGCUGUUGAUGGUUGUAGGCUUGUUGUUGUUGGGUGUAGGCUUGUUGUUGACCAACCCUCGGGGUAUUGAUCGGAGUCUGAUUCAUUGGCUGUUGUUCAAAAUAUCUGGUCUGGUUAAGAUUAGGCUCUGGGAAAUCUGUCUGAUUCCUCCGCUGUAUAUCAUUAGCCAUAUAAUAUGGUGCUGGAAAUAAAGGUGGCGGUGGAUUUGACCAAGGCCCCUGAGCUAUAGCUGGCUGUGUUUGGGUAUACAUGACGGCUGUCACUUCUCUUCCGCCCAUAUUACCGUGAGGAUAUGAUACUUGCGACACCACAGGUGCCACUAGACUCCUAGUCACUGGAGGUAAUGGGUUUGUUUGUGUCACUGCGCCGGUUAAGGUGUAAUCUCAAUCUCAUUUACCCUUGUGAAACUAGGACGCUGUUGAUAACUUUGCCUCUGGUUAGCCAACAAGUUCUCUGCCCUCUUGACCUCGUGACAAAACUCGGUUAAACUGUUUAUUCGAAUGGGAAACAUCAACUGGGCCAAAGCUGGCUUAAGGUUACCCCUAAUGAUAUCAAUUAACGAUCUCUCAUCAUACGGGACUUUUUGCUGAUGGCGUAGCUUAAGUAUGACAUUAUAAAACUCUUCAAAUGACUCAUGAGGUAACUGGCGGCGAUUGAGUAUUUGCAUUUGUACCUGAAACUCAUUCUCAAAACGCUGAUAUUGGGACAAGAUAGCACUUUCCAGGUCCCGCCAAGAGUUAAUUUGCGCCAAUUUGCGAUGGUUCCAAUACCAGUCUAAAGCUGGUCCUUCCAGUAAGUUAUGGAAAUGGCGUAAAAUAUCCAUGUCCGAGCAGUUGUAAUCUUUUUUCAGCUCGUUUACUCGAAAAAUAAACUCUUGAGCAUUCAUGGACUUACUGGUUCCAUCAAAUCUCAUACCCCACUUAGACAAAUUCAUUCGCUGAUGAUUUUCCAUACCAAUUGACACUGGCCAAGCAUAAUUAGGAGCUAGUCCAAAGCUAUUUUGCUGUUGUAGUGGUGGUUGAUGAUAGCUAUACCCUUGUUGUUGUUGUUGGUUGUAACCUUGCUGUUGAUGGUUGUAGGCUUGUUGUUGUUGGGUGUAGGCUUGUUGUUGACCAACCCUCGGGGUAUUGAUCGGAGUCUGAUUCAUUGGCUGUUGUUCAAAAUAUCUGGUCUGGUUAAGAUUAGGCUCUGGGAAAUCUGUCUGAUUCCUCCGCUGUAUAUCAUUAGCCAUAUAAUAUGGUGCUGGAAAUAAAGGUGGCGGUGGAUUUGACCAAGGCCCCUGAGCUAUAGCUGGCUGUGUUUGGGUAUACAUGACGGCUGUCACUUCUCUUCCGCCCAUAUUACCGUGAGGAUAUGAUACUUGCGACACCACAGGUGCCACUAGACUCCUAGUCACUGGAGGUAAUGGGUUUGUUUGUGUCACUGCGCCGGUUAAGAAUUCCGGACCUCCACCCUGAGCCACCUGCAAUGGCACCGUCGGAUCUAAACUUGCUGCGACAUCGUGUUGUUGCUGGUGGUUUAUACCCAAUGCCCGCUUAAUUUCCAUUAAAGCAUCGUUGAUUUUAUUAUCUACUUGCCUCAUAAAUUGCGCCUGGGAAAGACCGAUAGAAGCGUUGACCACUUCCUGUAUGUUGGCACUUUGAUUCCGCUGGUUGGCCAGACUCUCUCGGACUUCGCGGCGAACGUUUUGAGCUGUAAGGCUACUGUAUUCUGGCGACCUAAUCGUGGAAUUCGAGUCGUCUGAACUAAUAGAGACCUCGUGAGGCAAUACUGGUGCUGUUGACGUGGCUGUUGUGGUAGGCCCACCUGCAGUGAGAGCGUCUGUAGUACGAGUUACACCUGCUUCAGUAGUUGCCAUGUUGCUGCUGGUUGGUAAAUUACUUGAAAUUCUACUACCGGAACGAGUUACAACCAUAAUCCACCAAAAACUCAACGAAAAUUCAAAUUAUUAGAAAAAACGUGACAAAUUAUUACCUUUCUUUGAACUACCGCCGAAGAUAACAACAAAAAAUAUUUAUAACGAAAAUUCAAAAAAAUAAAAAAAAAAUAAUAUGCCAAAUAAUAACCACAGCGAUUAAUAAAAACAAAAGAUUUCCAGUACUAACGGAAUUCACACUAAUACCGAACUAUCUUCGAAUAUUAACUAUUUCAAAAUGUAUUAUAAACUUCUAUACAUAAGUGAUUGGGGUUCAAUCAUAGCGUGAGUGAGUAGGUUUACAAAACAAUUGUCGAUUAUUCUUGAUCUAUGUAAAGUUAAGUAUAAUUUAGUUGUAAACUUUGGUGUUUCCUAACGGCCUUUACAGAUUGAAAUUUACUAUAUGGACAAACUUAAGUACUGCGACUGAAAACUGAAAUAUUAUUUUCUUACCUUUUUCCAGGACUAGUCCUAAGUCUGUAAGCAAAACUAUUUAAACAAAAUUUUACUUUUCUUCUCCCUUGAGCAGUUAAAUCAGCCACUUAACAUAAAACUAAUUAAGACUCUGGGAUUAGAAAUUUUAUAUGUACUUGGAUUUAAGAAUGUAUGGCUAUUAUAUCUAAUCCCCCUGAGAAUUUAAUAGAUAUAAGACUUAUACAUCGUAAAUACAAGUAGAAAAUAAUAAAUGAAAUUUACUUGGGCUAUGGAAUUUAAUGAAACUUUUUGUUGGCUUUACAUAUUAGGCGAUUAACCAUACUUCUAAUGUACUAAAUGCUUAAGAGUCUAACAAUAAAGCUAACAAAAAGAUAUGUUUUUGCCAAGAAGAUGUCGCAACGCGUUACGGACUCUUAUUUGACGUGAACGGGACUUACACUACUUAGGCAAAAACAUAACACUAACAAGUAUGGACGUACUCACUUCGGGCCCCACGUUGGGCGCCAUUCUGUACUGGCCAGGAUUAUGAAAAUUGAAAGCAAAACAAAUGCCGAAACAUCUGUUGCGGGUCAGUGUUGCCAAAUGUCGGCGGCGCUGGUAUUAUGGCUUACGCCGGGCUGAGGCUCGCCGGAUGGGGUGGUUCUUGCCGACACUGCAACUUUUCCUGGAUACAAAAACUCUAUAAAAUACCAGCAUUAUGUUUAAGUUGAAAGAAAAACAGAAGAAUUUAAAUUGAAAGGGACCCGAAGUGAGCAAACAUUCAUAAGACGAAUACACCAAAACAUUUAUCUAAAUUAUUCCUUUUCAGGCCAAGAAUAAUCAUUAUUGGCGGAUGGAGUUGCCAAUAUGUUGUUUCCCUCCCAGAGGUCUGAACCUACAACCGUAGCAACCUAGUCAUUUUAGCUGUCCCUAACUAUCCCUACCCACUCACAAUAAUUUCACCCCAAUCACUUACAUUGUAAACUUAGCAGCUCUCCAUAUUUGAGAUCUGGACUAUCGGGUGUUUACAGGGCAAUCAUUUGGAAGAAGGGUAGCGUAGGUUUUCAGUCUGUCCGUUAUCUGUCCUCGUUCGGUGUUUCGAAAUUACCUAAAAGGAAUUAACCGUCUAGUUCGUCCUGUCGUACGAGGUAAAAGUAAAUUUUCCUGGUCGAAAACCUGGUACCUGAAGCACCACCGGAUUGUUGGUGCUAAUCUGCCGAAGAAAGUCCCCCGUUGAGUGGAGCUGGCGAUGGCGUGGCUUGGUGUUGCUUAUUUUAAUUUGAAUUUUAUUUAGUUUUAAGUUUUCUUUGAUUCAGAUUUAAAGUUUACUUUACUGUAGUUUUAAACUUUUAGUUUUAAAAAUGCAUUCAAUUGUAGUUUA